CCUACGGGAGGCAGCAGUGAGGAAUAUUGGUCAAUGGACGGAAGUCUGAACCAGCCAUGCCGCGUGCAGGAAGACGGCUCUAUGGGUUGUAAACUGCUUUUGUACAAGGGUAAACCUGAAUACGUGUAUUCAUCUGCAAGUACUUUACGAAUAAGCAUCGGCUAACUCCGUGCCAGCAGCCGCGGUACUACGGGGGAUGCGAGCGUUAUCCGGAUUUAUUGGGGUUAAAGGGUGCGUAGGCGGAAUGCCAAGUCAGCGGUAAAAUCGCGGGGCUCAACCUCGCUCCGCCGUUGAAACUGGCGUGCUUGAGUGGGCGAGAGGUAUGUGGAAUGCGUGGUGUAGCGGUGAAAUGCGUAGAGAUCACGAAGAACUCCGAUUGCGAAGGCAGCAUACCGGCGCAAGACUGACGCUGAAGAGCGAAAGCGUGGGUAGCGAACAGGAUUAGAUACCCGUGUAGUC
rnacentral:rRNA from 1 species